AAUAUAAAAUUUAAUAAAAAAUAAAUAAUAGAAUAAUUUUUAAAAUAAUUUAAUUGGGGGGUUAAAGUAUUUUAAAAAAAAAAAUUUUUAUUUUUAUAAAGAAUUAGUAUAGUAAUAGAAAAUUGAAAUAUAUUGAAAAAAAAAUUUUUAAAAAGUAAUUUUAAUUUAAUGUAUCUUGUGUAUCAGAGUUUAUUAAAUAAUUUUUAUUAAAUGUAAAAUUCUCGAAUUUUAAAGAGAUAAUUAAUUAUAAAAUUUAUUGUAGAAAAAAUAUUUUUAAUAAUUAAUUUGAAAUGAAAUGUUAAUCGUUUUAAAAGUUAUCUAGUUUUUUUAGAAAAAAAUUUAAUUUUAAUUUUUUUUUAUAUAAAAUAUAUUUUUUUAUUUUAUGAAAAGAAAAAAUUAUAUUUUAAGGGAUAAGCUUUAAAAUAAAUUUUUAUAAUUAUUUUUAUUAUAAUAAAAAUUUUAUAAUUUAAAUUUUUAAUAAAUUUUAUUUUGUUAUAAAUAAUUUUAAUUAAAAAAAAAUUUUAAAUAUAAUUUAAUUUUUUAUAAAAAAAUUAAUUUUAAAUUAAAAAAUUAAGGUAUAAUGAUAAAAUUAGUAUAUUUAUAUUAAAUUAUAUAAAAUUAAAAAUAAUUUAUUAAAAGGAAUUCGGCAAAAAUUUAUAUUUACCUGUUUAUCAAAAACAUGUCUUUUUGUUAUAAUUUAAAGUCUAAUCUGCCCACUGAUUUAAAUUAAAGGGCUGCAGUAUUUUGACUGUACAAAGGUAGCAUAAUCAUUAGUCUCUUAAUUGGUGACUUGUAUGAAUGAUUGGAUAAAAUAUAUUCUGUCUCUUAAUAAUAUAUAGAAUUUAAUUUUUUAUUUAAAAAGAUAAAAUAAUUUUAAAAGACGAGAAGACCCUAUAGAGUUUUAUAAAAUUUUAUAUUUAAAUUAUAUAUAAAAUUUUAAAUUUAAAUAUAAAAUUUUAUUUAGUUGGGGUGAUAAAAAAAUUAAAUUAACUUUUUUUUAAAAAAAACAUAAAUAAAUGAUUAUUUGAUCCAUAAUUUUAUGAUUAUAAGAUUAAAUUACCUUAGGGAUAACAGCGUAAUUUUUUUUUUUAGUUCUUAUAAAAAAAAAAGUUUGCGACCUCGAUGUUGGAUUAAGAUAAAAUUUAAAUGCAAAAGUUUAAAAUUUUGAUCUGUUCGAUCAUUAAAAUCUUACAUGAUCUGAGUUCAAACCGGUGUGAGCCAGGUUGGUUUCUAUCUUUAAAUAAAUAUGAUAAUUUAGUACGAAAGGAUCAAUUAUUAGAAAUAAUUUUAUAAUUUUGAAUUUAAUUAAUAUUAUUAUUAUU
rnacentral:rRNA from 1 species